CAUAUCAAUAAGCGGAGGAAAAGAAACCAACAGGGAUUGCCCCAGUAACGGCGAGUGAAGCGGCAACAGCUCAAAUUUGAAAUCCGGCGCCCCCGCGGCGCCCGAGUUGUAAUUUGCAGAGGAUGCUUCCGGCGCGGCGCCUUCCGAGUUCCCUGGAACGGGACGCCACAGAGGGUGAGAGCCCCGUCCGGUCGGACGCCAAGCCGGUGUGAAGCUCUUUCGACGAGUCGAGUAGUUUGGGAAUGCUGCUCUAAACGGGAGGUAUAUGUCUUCUAAAGCUAAAUACCGGCCAGAGACCGAUAGCGCACAAGUAGAGUGAUCGAAAGAUGAAAAGCACUUUGAAAAGAGGGUUAAACAGUACGUGAAAUUGUUGAAAGGGAAGCGCUCGUGACCAGACUCGGCCCCGGCGGAUCAUCCGGCGUUCUUCGCCGGUGCACUCCGCCUGGCGCCGGGCCAGCAUCGGCUCGCGGCGGGGGAUAAAGGCGCCGGGAACGUGGCUCCCCCGGGAGUGUUAUAGCCCGGCGCGCAAUGCCCCGCGGCGGACCGAGGUUCGCGCAUUCGCAAGGAUGCUGGCGUAAUGGUCACCAGCGACCCGUCUUGAAACACGGACCAAGGAGUCGUCCUCGUAUGCGAGUGUUCGGGUGUCAAACCCCUACGCGGAAUGAAAGUGAACGCAGGUGAGAGCCUCGGCGCAUCAUCGACCGAUCCUGAUGUUCUCGGAUGGAUUUGAGUAAGAGCAUACGGGGCCGGACCCGAAAGAAGGUGAACUAUGCCUGUGUAGGGUGAAGCCAGAGGAAACUCUGGUGGAGGCUCGCAGCGGUUCUGACGUGCAAAUCGAUCGUCAAACAUGGGCAUGGGGGCGAAAGACUAAUCGAACCUUCUAGUAGCUGGUUUCCGC
rnacentral:rRNA from 1 species